AGGCUUGUGGUGCAAUGGGCUAGCGCAUUCGGCUGUUAACCGAGAGGAUGGUGGUUCGAGCCCACCCAGGGAUG
rnacentral:tRNA from 1 species